rnacentral:rRNA from 1 species
UUGGAGAAGUGGCAAGUCUUCCAGUAUGGGGAGCAAAACAGCUAUGGGUCAAGUCCGAUAUCUUUAGGAGAAGUCUUAUUGUGAGGGCGAGUUAUAUAACACCAUAGGACUGGCCGUCCCAUAUGAAAAGAUUAUAUUAGAAUUGAAUGAAGCUUUGUUUAUAUAUUGAUAAUGACAGUAUAUAUAUCGUGUCUUGACUAAUUGCGUGCCAGCAGUCGCGGUAAUACGUAAGAGACUAGUGUUAUUCAUCUUAAUUAGGUUUAAAGGGUACCCAGACGGUCAAUAUAGCUUAUAAAAUGUUAGUACUUGACUAGAGUUUUAUGUAAGAGGGCAGUACUUGAGGAGGAGAGAUGAAAUUUCGUGAUACCAAAGGGACUCUGUAAAGGCGAAGGCAGCCCUCUAUGUAAAAACUGACGUUGAAGGACGAAGGCACAGAGAACAAACAGGAUUAGAUACCCAAGUAGUCUUUGCAGUAAAUGAUGAAUGCCAUAGGUUAGAUUAAUCAAAUAUAGUCUAGGGUUAGUCUAGCAAACUAAUGACCUAUACUAUAAUGAAAAAUAUCUGGUCUAUAAAUGAAAGUGUAAGCAUUUCACCUCAAGAGUAAUGUGGCAACGCAGGAACUGAAAUCACUAGACCGUUUCUGACACCAGUAGUGAAG